rnacentral:rRNA from 1 species
UGCGUAGGUGGGCAGGUAAGUCAGUGGUGAAAUCUUCGAGCUUAACUCGGAAACUGCCAUUGAUACUAUCUGUCUUGAAUAUCCUGGAGGUGAGCGGAAUAUGUCAUGUAGCGGUGAAAUGCUUAGAUAUGACAUAGAACACCAAUUGCGAAGGCAGCUCACUACGGGAUUAUUGACACUGAGGCACGAAAGCGUGGGGAUCAAACA